CAAAAAAGAUAGCCCGACUCACAGCUACGGAUCGGACGUUGAGCAGAGUGCUGCAGAGUGUGCAGUAUGGUGAUUGGUGUGAAGGUGACGAUGUGCCAAAAUCAUUUACCGACAGGAAACUGGAGCUGUCAGUCACCGCAGGCGUCCUCAUGUGGGGACACCGUGUCAUCAUUCCAGAGAGGGCACAAGGCGAGGUACUGGCCGAGCUACAUGCUGCCCACCCCGGGAUGAGGCGCAUGAAGGCGCUGGCACGAGGCUACGUCUGGUGGCCGGGCAUCGAUGCCGCCAUCGAGGAAGUCGUGCGGAGCUGCCAGCCAUGCCAGGAGAGCCGCCCAGCACCGGACCGCGCACCGCUGAGUAUGUGGCCCUGGCCGGACCGCCCGUGGUCCAGGAUUCACAUUGAUUACGCUGAGCCGAGCUGAUGCUUGGCAGGAGGCUGCGGAGUAAGCUGGACCUUCUACGGCCGAGCAUCCGGGCGACGGUGGUCAAAGGUCAAGUGAGCCAAAAACAAAACCAUGACGGUAAGCGUACGCUUCGCACUUUUGACAUAGAUGACGAGGUUUAUGCAAGAAAUUUCUCAGUGGGUCGUCCUUGGGUACCCGGCUUUAUCUGUGCGAUCGAUGGACCGGUGUCGUAUGUGGUACGAUUAGAAGACGGGAGAUGCUGGAGACGUCACAUCGAUCAACUUCGUGAAAGAGGACGAGAGCCAAAAGAGAUCGAUCUCCAGGUCGAUGAACUGAGACGCCGACCCCUGUCCACAGGAUAUCGUCAGCUACCUGACCUGAGCCGGAGCGGAGAGGUGACACCUGGCGGCGGCGCUGAGGGAGCUCACUCUGGCUGGCUACCGGCUGCCGCCGACGCUGUUUAACGGCCGCCCGCCGCGGCGCUCGUUCGGCCGCCGGCACCUGGUGCUGCCGUUGGGUCGUCUGCCGAGCCGCCUGCUGGGUCGUCUGGCGAGCUGGCUGGUGUUGCUGCUGGGUCGUCAGCUGGGCCGACUCAGCGCGAGGUCUCGAGCGCUGCCGUUCCGUCAUCGCCGCUAUCUGGCCGGGUGCCGCUGUCGCAAUCUCAGCGGACGGCGCCGGCGCCAUUGUCGCGGCCCGAUGACGCGUCUGUUUCUACGGGCAAUCGCAGUGAGCUCGCGCGUCGCUAUCCGGCUCGUGUGCGGAACAAACCAAACUUUUACGUGGGAAAGUAAUGUACGGUAAUUGGGCGUGGUCCAUGCGACGACUGCGCGUGCGCGGGGCCGCGCGGCGGCUGUGCACAGGGCGCGGUGUGCGUGCGCCUGUCUGUUAGACUGUACCGCGGUGUCAUCGUCUGCGCGGGUCAGCCGGCCCGCGCGGCAUUCUGAAAUAGAGUGGCAGACUGAACAGCUGUGUUCCUCUACAGUUGUGCAAGCUCGAUGUCGAAAGUUUUUUUGCAUGUGUCUAAAUGUGUGUAUACUAUAUAGCGUGACGGCAGGCUGACACGUGUGCGCGCGCGUGUAUGCUUGUGUAUAUGUAGAUGCGAGUGUACUGAGGGUGUCGCUGGCGGUUCGACCUCCGCUGUCAGUCCCCACGUGUGUGGUGUGUCAUGGGAUGAUUUCUGACGUCAUCGGUCGGGGUGCGGCGUCUUGGGCUGAUGUGCGGCGUAAUGGGGUGAUGCGCGCUGCCGUCGAGAGUCGCCGUGUGCGGGCGAGAUGACAGUGAUUAGAGAUGAAACGGGAGCCAGCCGCUCCCGUUUCCCUGUGCUGCACCGCUCCCGUGUUGCUGGGCUGCACUGCGGCGCCUCGCGGCUCCAGUGGCUGUAUUCGGGACUCCGCCAGGCCCCAGCGACGGUCUCGCGAACCAUCUGCAACCGAGUGGCACGAUCGUGGACCGGUAUGGACUCCACACUGUAUCGGGCGUCCGCCGUCCUGCGCGUGGGCUGAGCUCGGGCCGUUUGUGUCUGUGUGUGGGUGCGUGAGGCGCGCUCUCCGCGGACGGAGAGACGAAUCUCGUGUCCAAAUGACUGGGUUGACUGGCGUAUCGUAAGUGUAUUAUCGUCAAAGGAUACGAUGAACAAACUAAUUGAUCAUGAUCAAUCACUGAACGUCUUUUCGGGCUUUCUGUGCCCACUGCAGAUUUUGAGUGGCGGGUGAGGGGGAGCAUGCAAGCCAAGCCCAUCCAAUUCCUCUUCCGACUCCCGUCCGUAUUAUACUGGGACUUGGUUUGUAAAUGAUCAGAAAACAGAUAUGGGCAUCACUUGUGCCAUGUUGUAACAUUUUUCAACCCAAAACGCCUAAAAAUAUUCGCGGAACAUAUCCCCGUCAUUACGCUUUACACUGCGGCCCACCGCGCGUCGUGGCUAGGUUUAGUUCAUCUGUUGGCCGCUAGGUGGCCGCGCUGGUCGCUGACAUCAAAGGGGCCGACGCCGAGACUCGCAUCCAUGCUGUCGGGGAGCCGCGACCGUGACGGGAAGCGGCUGGCUCGACUGGCGAACAGCCGUCGCGAUCAUGGUCGUAUGGUCGAUGGCGACGCGGUAAUGGCCGCAGGCGACGCACCGACAGCCGCCGCCGAGGCGGUGCCCGACGCUGAGGAGUAUUCCGAGGAACGACAGCUCCGCUUCGAAGAGUUGUGAAACGCAGAAGGAACUAGGAAGUGGAGCUCAAGAAGGGAGUGUACCCGUGCAUUCUGUUCAUACCGAAUGUUGAUAAGUUACAUGUUUUUUUAUGAAUGAAUUGAUGAAUGAUUUAAUCUUUGCAGAUUAAUUUUGGGAGUUGAUGAUGUUGGCGCCAUAGAAAUCGUAUUUGGUAUGACCGUUUCAUCGACAUAUGAAUAAAUGAAAGUUGCAAUGUAUAUAUUUAGUUGCGAGCUUUCGCCCACAGGCCUUUAUCAAACAUGUAGUAAGAGAUUUGACCUUAUUUUUGGUAUUCGACGUAGACGUUCCAUGUUCAACAGAUCGAUGACUUUCAGAUGUGUUGAAAUGAUCAGCACUUUUCAAUUAUGAGAUGCGUUCUUUGUUCGUCCGAUGUUUGUCAUCGCCCCGUAUCAAAUGUUAUGUUAAUAAAUGGAGGAUGAUGA